rnacentral:rRNA from 1 species
UGCCAGCCGCCGCGGUAAUAAGGGGGGUGCAAGCGUUGUUCGGAAUUAUUGGGCGUAAAGCGUGCGUAGGCGGACUAUUAAGUCUGAUGUGAAAUCCCUCGGCUCAACCGAGGACCUGCAUUGGAUACUGGUAGUCUUGAGUCCCGGAGAGGAUGGCGGAAUUCCUAGUGUAGAGGUGAAAUUCGUAGAUAUUAGGAGGAACACCAGUGGCGAAAGCGGCUAUCUGGACGGUGACUGACGCUGAGGCACGAAAGCAUAGGUAGCAAACAGGAUUAGAUA